rnacentral:rRNA from 1 species
GGUCUGCCCUGAGUGCCGAGAGGGGCGGAGAGUUACAAAGGCUGCGACUAGUCGAACGGUCCUGGAAAGGCCGACCACAGAAGGUGCUAGUCCUGUAGGCGAAAGUCGUCAGCUCUCUCUCGAUCGGAUUCCCGAGUACCAUGGGACACGGGAAAUCCUGUGGGAAUCUGGGAGGACCAUCUCCCAAGGCUAAAUACUCAUCGACGACCGAUAGUGAACAAGUACCGUGAGGGAAAGGUGAAAAGAACUCCGAGAGGAGAGUGAAAUAGUACCUGAAACCAUGUGCUUACAAGCGGUCGGAGGACGAAUUCGCACCUUCGGGAGCGAUGCCGUCUGACGGCGUGCCUUUUGCAUAAUGACCUGGCGAGUUAAUUUGCGUAGCGAGGUUAAGUGCCUUACGGCAUGGAGCCGUAGCGAAAGCGAGUCUGAAUAGGGCGAUUAGUUGCGCGGAUUAGACCCGAAGCCGAGUGAUCUACCCAUGGCCAGGAUGAAGCGUAUGUAACAGUACGUGGAAGACCGAACCGACCAAAGUUGAAAAUUUGGCGGAUGAGCUGUGGGUAGGGGUGAAAGGCCAAUCAAACUCGGAAAUAGCUGGUUCUCCCCGAAAUAGAUUUAGGUCUAGCCUCGUGCGAUGUAUGACGGAGGUAGAGCACUGACUGGGCUAGGGGGCCUACAAGCCUACCAAACCCAUUCAAACUCCGAAUGCCGUCCAUAUUAGCGCGGGAGUAAGGCUGCGGGGGAUAAGCUCCGUAGCCGAGAGGGAAACAGCCCAGACCACCAGCUAAGGUCCCUAAGUGCAGGCUAAGUGUAAAAGGAUGUGGAGCCGCGCAGACAACCAGGAUGUUGGCUUAGAAGCAGCCAUCAUUUAAAGAAAGCGUAACAGCUCACUGGUCAAGUGGUUCCGCGCCGAUAAUUCACGGGACUCAAGCCUGUCACCGAAGCUGUGGACUCGCGCGGUCCUCGGAUCGCGCGUUUGGUAGGGGAGCAUUCCACUGUAGGGCGAAGGCGUAUCGUAAGGUGCGCUGGACGACGUGGAAGCGAUUAUGCCAGGAUGAGUAGCGAUAAGAGAGGCGAGAAACCUCUCCACCGGAAGCCCAAGGUUUCCUGAGCAAGGCUAAUCCGCUCAGGGUAAGUCGGCCCCUAAGCCGAGGCCGAAAGGCGUAGGUGAUGGGAAUCAGGUCAACAUUCCUGAACCACCGAUCGAACGUUUGUACGAUGGGGUGACGCAGGCUUGCACGGCCAGCCGGGCGAUGGUUGUCCCGGUUCAAGCAUGUAGGUGGAUCCUCCAGGCAAAUCCGGAGGGUCUUAACACCGAGGUGCAAUGAGGAGUCCUUUUGGACGCAAACUGGCCCGAAAGACUGCCAAGAAAAACCUCUAAGGAGUUCGGUCGGUGACCGUACCGGAAACGGACACACGUAGGCGAGAAGAGUAUUCUAAGGUGCUCGAGAGAACCCUCGUUAAGGAACUCGGCAAAAUAGCCCCGUAACUUCGGAAGAAGGGGUGCCUCCUUUGGCAAAGCUCCUCGCGGGCGGAGCUGAGGGAGGUCGCAGUGACCAGGCUUGAGCGACUGUUUACCAAAAACACAGGUCUCUGCAAAGUCGCGUAAGACGACGUAUAGGGACUGACACCUGCCCGGUGCCGGAAGGUUAAGGGGAUGCGUCAGCGCCUUCGGGUGCGAAGCGUUGAACUGAAGCCCCGGUAAACGGCGGCCGUAACUAUAACGGUCCUAAGGUAGCGAAAUUCCUUGUCGGGUAAGUUCCGACCUGCACGAAUGGUGUAACGACUUGAGCGCUGUCUCAACGAGGGACUCGGUGAAAUUGUAGUAGCGGUGAAGAUGCCGCUUACCCGCGACUGGACGGAAAGACCCCGUGCACCUUUACUGUAGCGUGGUAUUGGGUCUUGGCAGGUCAUGUGUAGGAUAGGUGGGAGACGUUGAAGCGGGCACGCCAGUGCUCGUGGAGUCAACCUUGAAAUACCACCCUUGAUUUGUAAGGGCUCUAACCUCGUUCCGUGAAACCGGGCGAGGAACAGUGCUUCGUGGGCAGUUUGACUGGGGCGGUCGCCUCCUAAAAAGUAACGGAGGCGCACAAAGGUUCCCUCAGCACGGUCGGCAAUCGUGCGUAGAGUGCAAAGGCAUAAGGGAGCUUGACUGCGAGACCAACAAGUCGAGCAGGUGGGAAACCAGGUCUUAGUGAUCCGGCGGUUCCGCAUGGAAGGGCCGUCGCUCAUCGGAUAAAAGGUACGCCGGGGAUAACAGGCUGAUCUCCCCCAAGAGUCCAUAUCGACGGGGAGGUUUGGCACCUCGAUGUCGGCUCAUCGCAUCCUGGGGCUGGAGAAGGUCCCAAGGGUUUGGCUGUUCGCCAAUUAAAGCGGUACGUGAGCUGGGUUCAGAACGUCGUGAGACAGUUCGGUCCCUAUCCUUCGCGGGCGCAGGAGAUUUGAGGAGAGCUGUCCUUAGUACGAGAGGACCGGGAUGGACGAACCUCUGGUGUACCAGUUGUCCCGCCAGGGGCACUGCUGGGUAGCUAUGUUCGGACGGGAUAACCGCUGAAAGCAUCUAAGCGGGAAGCCCACUCCAAGACGAGAUCUCCCAGGGCGUCAUGCCCUCUGAAGGCCCCUCGUAGAUUACGAGGUUGAUAGGCCGCAGGUGUAAGCUCCGUAAGGAGUUCAGCCGAGCGGUACUAAUCGGCCGUGAGGCCUGACCCA